UACGUAGGGUGCAAGCGUUGUCCGGAUUUAUUGGGCGUAAAGAGCUCGUAGGCGGUUUGUCGCGUCGGAUGUGAAAACCCAGGGCUCAACCCUGGGCCUGCAUUCGAUACGGGCAAACUAGAGUAUGGCAGGGGAGACUGGAAUUCCUGGUGUAGCGGUGAAAUGCGCAGAUAUCAGGAGGAACACCCGUGGCUAAGGCGGCUCUCUAGUACGGUACUGACGCUGAGACGCGAAAGCGUGGGGAGCGAACAGG
rnacentral:rRNA from 1 species